rnacentral:lncRNA from 1 species
UUUUUUAACAUUAGCUCAAAUCCAAUUCAAAUGUCCAUUACAUUUUAGAACACAAAAAUCAGAAUUUCAAAUGCCGUGAAAUUGUGAAUACGGACAAUCCCCUUCUCGGCAUUCCCAUUCCAAAAUGCAAACCCUUUUAGCUUUUCUCUUGUUCUCUUAAAUUCCGUCAUGCCUGUGGAGUGAAUCACAUUCCGUCCGAUUGUCGAUUGGGAUCCAAUUCUCUGGUGGUCUCACCCACUUGGAUUGGGUAUUUUUUUGAAUUUUUCAGAAUUUUUGUUUACUCCAUGAGUUUAUAAAUCAAAGCAAUAUAUGGGACGAAUUUAUAUUUUAAGUUGAACCGAUUUUGGUUGGUUUAUUAUUAUUAGCUAUAGUUUAAAAUCUAGCUAGUUUACUUUUGAGUCUUUUGUUUUGUUUUUAAGUUUCUGUGCCGAGAGUAAAAUGGCCAUAGAUAAUUAGUUUUGGCUGAUUUCAAAUAGACAAGUUUUUGGCCAAAAAAUUUCACUGUAGCGGAUGACUAAAAUUGUGCCCGCACUCGACACGGUCUCUGGCUCCGCCCCUGCAUCUUACCCUACUCAGAAUAGUGUUUUUGUAUUAAUAUUUGUUUGCAAACACAACUCUCUUCCCUCGUCGUUUCUCUUCUUUUUAAACUUACCAAGCAUGUACUAACUACACUUCUAUCACUUCCCACUCUCUUCUCUUCACCGAUGAAAAAAAUCCCAGGAAUUAACACAUUUUCAUCAACCAACAUAUGUGUAGGGACAGUAGUUCAGACUAGAAUGAAUCAAACAAACAAGAAGUUCAGUUCGGUUCAAACCCAGAAAUCGUAAUGGAAUGUUUGGUUUAAAUCGAAUUCACUGCACUGCAUCUAGAACUAUUCAUUCAAAAUUUAUCACUAAUUGAAAAGGCUAAGCAAUGGACACUUUAGCACCUGCCUCUUCGAGCUGCUUUUUCGCUUCCUCAGCUUCAUCUUUCGACGCACCCUCCUUAAAUUUCUUUGGCAAUCCCUCAAUCAAUUCUUUGGCUUCCUUCAAUGCCAAAUUAGUCAAAGCCCUAACUGCUUUAAUAGUAGCAAUUCUCGCAUUGCUCGGUACCUCCUCUAUAACCACGUCGAACUCCGUCUUCUCCUCCGCUACAACGGGAGCCUCCGCCACUCCCGAGCCGCCGGGAGCGGCGACCGCGGCUACGGGAGCGAAGGAAGCAGCAGAAACACCGAGCUUGUCCUGGAGGUACUCGACGAGUUUCUGCGCAUCAGCAAGGGUCAGGUUCGAGAUCUGGUCACCGAGCUCGACAACCUUCUCCGGGGCUUCUACGGCGGAGAGGGGGCGAAGAAAGGUUGCGCGGUUCCGACAGCGGGAAUUGGCGUUGGUUUUUUGAGGGAAUUCAAUGGAUUGUUUUGGAAAUGUGGCUGAAGGAUGCGCAGGAUAAGCGGCAUAGGGCGCAGGAUAAGUGGAUGGACGGAUGAUAAUUGAGGAUAAUGUAGAAGCCAUUGUUGAAUUUAGUGAAACAGGGUGGGAGUGUAUAGGAAGAUAGGAUACGGAGGUAAGUUUGGUAGAAUGUGUGAACGAGUAUUCAAGGCAAUUUUAAAUUCCAAUUUAGGGUAAAUUUCUUAUUUGGUCACUAAAGGUUCAAAGAAAAUUCAAUUAGCUUUUCGAAAUUUAAUUUAUCUCAAAUUGGUCACUAAACUUCACUUUUAUUUCACAUUGGAUCAUAAACUUUAGCUUAGUUUCAAAUUUCAUCACUUCAUCACAUGUCGUCAUUCAGAUGAUGAAAAUUGGCUUUUUGCACAAAUAGUCUCUAUCUUGCACUUGUUUAUAGAUUGAGGACGUAUCAUUUCAAUUUUGACAUUUGAAAUCCUAUUUCUGUCAGUUACUAUUGUUCAAUUUCUCCAUUAAAGGCACAUAGGUUUUUUUAA